AACUUUCAACAACGGAUCUCUUGGCUCUCGCAUCGAUGAAGAACGCAGCGAAAUGCGAUAAGUAAUGUGAAUUGCAGAAUUCAGUGAAUCAUCGAAUCUUUGAACGCACCUUGCGCCUCUUGGUAUUCCGAGAGGCAUGCCUGUUUGAGUGUCA
rfam:Kockovaella imperatae strain NRRL Y-17943 BD324scaffold_32, whole genome shotgun sequence.